rnacentral:misc_RNA from 1 species
GAAACUUCAAGCUCAGCUUGGUGUUGGGUGCUUGUCCCCGCCCGCGGCGGACUCACCUCAAAUGCAUUGGCGGCCGGUAUGUUGGCUACAGCGCAGUACAACGCGUCUGGCGUCUUGACAUACGGGUCCUCCAGAAGCCCCUUCUUUGAC